rnacentral:rRNA from 1 species
AUUGAACGCUGGCGGCAUGCUUUACACAUGCAAGUCGAACGGUAACAGGCCGCAAGGUGCUGACGAGUGGCGAACGGGUGAGUAAUGCAUCGGAACGUGCCCAGUCGUGGGGGAUAACUACUCGAAAGAGUAGCUAAUACCGCAUACGAUCUAUGGAUGAAAGCGGGGGACCGUAAGGCCUCGCGCGAUUGGAGCGGCCGAUGUCAGAUUAGGUAGUUGGUGGGGUAAAGGCUCACCAAGCCAACGAUCUGUAGCUGGUCUGAGAGGACGACCAGCCACACUGGGACUGGGACACGGCCCAGACUCCUACGGGAGGAGGCAGUGGGGAAUUUUGGACAAUGGGCGCAAGCCUGAUCCAGCAAUGCCGCGUGCAGGAAGAAGGCCUUCGGGUUGUAAACUGCUUUUGUACGGAACGAAACGGCUCUGGUUAAUACCCGGGGCUAAUGACGGUACCGUAAGAAUAAGCACCGGCUAACUACGUG